rnacentral:rRNA from 1 species
UGGGGAAUAUUGGACAAUGGGGGCAACCCUGAUCCAGCAAUGCCGCGUGUGUGAAGAAGGUCUUCGGAUUGUAAAGCACUUUCGACGGGGACGAUGAUGACGGUACCCGUAGAAGAAGCCCGGCUAACUUCGUGCCAGCAGCCGCGGUAAUACGAAGGGGGCUAGCGUUGCUCGGAAUGACUGGGCGUAAAGGGCGUGUAGGCGGUUUACACAGUCAGAUGUGAAAUCCCCGGGCUUAACCUGGGAGCUGCAUUUGAUACGUGUAGACUAGAGUGUGAGAGAGGGUUGUGGAAUUCCCAGUGUAGAGGUGAAAUUCGUAGAUAUUGGGAAGAACACCGGUGGCGAAGGCGGCAACCUGGCUCAUGACUGACGCUGAGGCGCGAAAGCGUGGGGAGCAAAC